rnacentral:misc_RNA from 1 species
UCUCCGUUGGUGAACCAGCGGAGGGAUCAUUACCGAGUUUACAACUCCCAAACCCCUGUGAACAUACCAUUUGUUGCCUCGGCGGUGCCUGCUUCGGCAGCCCGCCAGAGGACCCAAACCCUUGAUUUUAUACAGUAUCUUCUGAGUAGAUGAUUAAAUAAAUCAAAACUUUCAACAACGGAUCUCUUGGUUCUG